UACGAAGGGGGCUAGCGUUGCUCGGAAUCACUGGGCGUAAAGGGUGCGUAGGCGGGUCUUUAAGUCAGGGGUGAAAUCCUGGAGCUCAACUCCAGAACUGCCUUUGAUACUGAAGAUCUUGAGUUCGGGAGAGGUGAGUGGAACUGCGAGUGUAGAGGUGAAAUUCGUAGAUAUUCGCAAGAACACCAGUGGCGAAGGCGACUC
rnacentral:rRNA from 1 species